rnacentral:rRNA from 1 species
GAUGAACGCUGGCGGCGUGCCUAAUACAUGCAAGUCGAGCGAACGGACGAGAAGCUUGCUUCUCUGAUGUUAGCGGCGGACGGGUGAGUAACACGUGGAUAACCUACCUAUAAGACUGGGAUAACUUCGGGAAACCGGAGCUAAUACCGGAUAAUAUUUUGAACCGCAUGGUUCAAAAGUGAAAGACGGUCUUGCUGUCACUUAUAGCUGGAUCCGCGCUGCAUUAGCUAGUUGGUAAGGUAACGGCCUACCAAGGCAACGAUGCAUGGCCGACCUGAGAGGGUGGUCGGCCACACUGGAACUGAGACACGGUCCAGACUCCUACGGGAGGCAGCAGUAGGGAAUCUUCCGCAAUGGGCGAAAGCCUGACGGAGCAACGCCGCGUGAGUGAUGAAGGUCUUCGGAUCGUAAAACUCUGUUAUUAGGGAAGAACAUAUGUGUAAGUAACUGUGCACAUCUUGACGGUACCUAAUCAGAAAGCCACGGCUAACUACGUG